rnacentral:lncRNA from 1 species
GCAGGUGGUGCGGAGAAGAAAGUUUAAAGAGGUGCGUGGAUAAGCUCCGUAUAUUUAUGCCCAUAAAAUUGUGGAAGAAAAUACAAUAAAUGUUUGGUAGAGGUUGUCUCUGAGUGGUAAUUAUGUUAUUUUUAUUUUUGUCUUAGAUUUUUCCACAAUGAACAUUUAUUUUCAUAAGAACAAAAAAAGACAAAAGUAAAAAUAACUAAUGCUUAUAUAACAUUUACUCUGCGCCAGGUGUUGCAAAAUGCUUUUGUUGUUGGCUGCAGCGUGCAGCGGCUUGAUGUGGGAUCUCAGUUCGCAGACCAGUAGCAGUGAAGCUCUGAGUCCUGACUGCUGUACCACCAGGGAACUCCCGAUAUAUUAACUGAUUUAAUUCUCACGCAGUCCUAGCAGAAAGUAUCAGUACUCUCAUCAUUUUAUAGAUGAAGAAAGUGAGGCACAGAAAGGUUCCCAAGGUCCCAGAGCCAGUUAAUUACAGAGCCAAGAUGAUAACUGAGACCAUGGCUCCAGAGUCCUUAGGAAAGUAGGUCUCACAGCUUAUCAGGAACUUUUCCUCUCUUUUCUCCUUGUGGAAAAACAGAUUCUUAAAGUUCCCUAAACACCACCUCCUACAUGAAGUCUUCCUGGUCUACCCAUCUUCCUUCAUAGCUGUUAGCUCCUUCCAUGUCAGUACUUCCUUUUUGCAACUGAGUUGCAGUUUGUGCCACACAAGUAGAUUAAGUUGAUUUUGUGUGUGUGUGUGCCAUUUUAACUAUUUUUAAGCAUGCAGUUCAUUGUCAUUAACUACAUUCACAAUGUUGCGCAACCAUCACUGCUGUAUGUUUCCAAAACUUUUUCAUGAGUGCAAGCAGAAACCCUGUUAACUAUUAAGCAAUAACUCCCCAUUCUUCUUUCUCCCCAUUCCUUGGUAACCCCUAACUUACUUUCCGUCUCUAUGGAUUUGCCUGUUCUAGAUAUUUCAUGUCAGCUGAAUUUUACAGUAUAUGUCCUUUUGUGUCUGGCUUAUACUUAGCAUAGUGUUUUCAAAGUUCAUCCAUGUUGUAUGUGUCAGAAAUUCAUUAUGGCUGAUUAAUGUUCUGUUGCAUGGAUAUACCACAUUUUGUUUAUCCAUUCAUCCGUCAAUAAACACUUGGGGAGUUCCCGUUGCAGCUCAGCGAUAAUGAACCCAACUAGUAUCCACAAGGAUCAGGGUUCAAUCCCUGGCCCCGCUCAGUGGGUUAAGGAUCUGGUGUUGCCGAGAGUUUCAGUAUAGGUUGAAGAUGUGGCUCAGAGCCUGAGACAUGGGUCAGAUGCUGUGGCUGCGACCUGCAUCUGCAGCUCCAAUUCGACCCUUAGCCUGGGAACUUCCAUAUACUGCAGGUGCAGCCCUAAAAAGGAAAAAAAGGCCAACAAGAAAAACCACUUGGGUUGUUUCUACCUUUUGGCUAAUGUAGAUAAUGCUGUAAAGAACACUGGCAUUUAGUGAUCUAUUUUGAGUUCCUCUUUUUUGUUUGUUUUUGUUUUUUGUCUUUUUGCCUUUUCUAUAGGGCUGUUCCCGCAGCAUAUGGAGUUCCCAGGCUGGUGGCUACAGCUCCCACUCGAUCCCUAGCUUGGGAACCUCCAUAUGCCGCGGGAGCAGCCCAAGAAAUAGCAAAAAGACAAAAAAAAAAACCAAAAAAGACCUUGGUGCUGACUGUUGCUGCAGCCUAAAUGCAGCCCUCCUCUCAAUCCUCGACUGGCUCUUUCCCAUCCUCAGGUUUCAGUUCAGUUCUUUUAAUUUUUUAUCAAUUUGUUUCUUUUAUUUAUUUUUUGCUUUUUUGAGGGGCACCUGCAGCAUAUGGAAGUUUCCAGGCAAGGGGUCCAUUCGGAGCUGCAGCUGCUGGCCUACACCACAACAGCAGCAAUGCCAGAUCCUUAACCACUGAAAGAGGCCAGGGAUCGCACCCAAUCCUCAUGGAUAUCAGUUGGGUUCGUAACCCGCUGAGCCACAACGAGAACUCUCAGAUUUCAAUUCAAAUGACACCUCUGGGAGUUCUCUUAUGGUGCAGUGGGUUAGUUAAGGAUCCAGGGUUGUCAGUGCUGCCACUCGGAUCACUGAUGUGGCUUGGAUUCGAUCCCUGGCCCAAGAACUUCCACAUGCCCUGAGCACAGCCAAAACAAAGAAAUGCACUUCUUCAGUGAGUCCUUUCACCACCCUCUAAACCAGUAGCGCUAAUCCUACAGUCACUCUCUAUGUCAUCCCUCUUUUAUUUUCCUUGUAGCACUUAGCACUCUUUGAGAUAGUUUUCUUUACUUGGUGAACUUGUUCAGAGACUGUUUUACUAGAUAUGAGCUCCAGAAGUGUGCACGCCCUGUCUAUCCUGUUUGCUGCUCUGUGCAAACAGUAGUGCUUAGUACACAGUAGGCCUUCAGCAAUUACUAGAUAAAUGAGUGAAUGAAUGCCCGUAUGCAUUUUUUUUUUUGUCUUUUCUUUUUUUUUUUGCUAUUUCUUGGGCCGCUCCCGCAGCAUAUGGAGGUUCCCAGGCUAGGGGCGAAUCGGAGCUAUAGCCACCGGCCUACGCCAAAGCCACAGCAACUCAGGAUCCGAGCCGCAUCUGCAACCUACACCACAGCUCACGGCAACGCUGGAUUGUUAACCCACUGAGCAAGGGCAGGGACCGAAUCCGCAACCUCAUGGUUCCUAGUCGGAUUCGUUAACCACUGCGCCACGACGGGAACUCCCCCGUAUGCAUUUUUGAAUCAUUUUCGGAUGUCUGUCAAGUCUGUAUGUUAAUGUGUGCUCAACUCAAAUAGGCCUUAUGUCAACUCUGGCUCCCCCCACUCUUCCCUGAGCUCUGGAGGGCAGGAACCAUGUCCAAUCCAUCAUUGCACCUUGGAGCAGUUCUGCAAGUGCACUGCCUACAGUGAAGGGCCAGAAUUUUAAAUUUCCAGUCCACUGCAGACUGGUACUUUUGAAAAAUACAAUAACAAUGUUAGGGAAAUGUCAGCUUGCUAGAAAACUUUCUGAAAGCUUAUUCUCGAUUUCUGUGCUUGUAGUGUCCUGAGCAGGUGAUGAACAGUUUACAGUUUGAGUCACACUGCCUUAGAGGUCCGCACAAUACAUGGUAGGUAGAUGUCAGUGUUUAGAACACUGACUUUUUCUUUCUUCCUCCCUCUCUUUCUUUUCUUCCUUCCCUUCCUUCCUUUCUUCUUUCACCACCCCACAACACAUGGAGUUCCCAAGCCAGGGAUCAGAUCUGAGCUGCAGUUGCAACCCAGGCCACAGCUUCAGCAAUGCAGGCUCCUUUAACCCACUGUGCCAGGGUGAGGAUCAAACCUGCAUUCCAGGGCUACAGAGAUGCUGCCCAUCCUGUUGCACCAUAGCAGGAACUCCUGCCUUGACCUCUUAGAAAACCAAGACAUCAUCUACAUGGGAUUAAAGACAAAGAAGGAGGGGAACAGGGGAACAGACUUCGUUUAUUGCAAAACAUCUAGUAAAUGCCAACUGUUAGAUUGAUGCUGUCCACUGGAAAUUUUUUUUUUUUAAGGCCGCACCUGCUGCAUAUGAAGUUCCCAGGCUAGGGGCCCAAUCGGAGCUGUAGCUUCCGGCCUUUGCCACAGCCAUAGCAACUUGGGAUCUGAGCCACAAUGCAACUUACACCACAGCUCACGGCAACGCCAGAUCUUUAAUUCAUGGAGCAAGGCCGGGGAUCGAACCCACAUCCUCAUGGAUACUAGUCCAGUUCAUUACCGCUGAGCCACAACAGAACUCCUGCAACUUUUUGCGGCAAUGUAGAUGUUUUAUAACUGUGCUAUCCAAUAUGAUGGCCACUAGCCACAUGUGUCUGUUGAACACUUGUAAUGUGGCAAGUCAAGGAAUCAAAUUUUCUGUUUUUAUUUUAGUUAAUUUAAAUAGCCACAUAUAACUAUUAGCAAACACUUUUUUUUUUUUGUAUGUACCUGCUGCAUGUGAAAGUUCCCAGACCAGGGAUCGAACCCACGUCACAGCUGCAGCCUUUGCCACAGCUAUGGCAAUGCCAGACCCUUAACCCACAUUAGGAAGGGAACUUCCUAAUGGCAAAUACUUUUGAUAGUGCAGUUAUAACAAGUUAUAUCUUUGAAAACAAAAUGCCUCCAUCUUUAGCACCUGAUAUCCAAUCAAUUUCCAAGUUAUGUCCGCUCUUCUGCCUUAAUGUUGGUCCAGUCAGACCUUUUUCCAUCCCCCAACUCAGUGGAUAGUAAUCCUGCUCAGAGUCAUGCAUCCUUGAUUUCUCCUUUUCCCUAAAUACUCCCUCUGCAACCUCCAAUUUAUCACCACGUCCUCUCAGUAUUAUCUCUUAAGCACCUUACAGUCCCCUCUAAUUCUCCAUCUCUACCACCACCAUUACCUCUCACCUAGACAGUAGCCCCAAAACCAGCUUCCUUGCAUCAGGUCUUGCUCACCAUUCCCAGCCCCUAGUGCUCUUCGGAAAACCCUUGAGUGGCUCCCCAUUAUUUAUUAGGAUAAAGACAAACCUCUUCCUGAGCCUACAACCCCCUCCAUAGUCCUUGGUCUGGCCCUAUUCCUACUGCUGACUAGGUCAAACCCUUCCUUCCUUCCUUCCUUCUCACUCUCUUUCUCGCUUUCUUUCUUUCUUUUUUUUUUUUUUUCAUUUUUUCAUAGAAGGCUGUCUUGAUCAAUGCAGUUCUUCUUUGAGCAUCAGGCAUAGUUUCUUUCUUUCUUUUUUUUUUUUUAGUUUUUAGGGCCGUACCCGUGGCAUAUGGAGGUUCCCAGGCUAGGGGUCCAAUCGGAGCUACAGCUGCUGGCCUACAUCUCAGCCACAGCAAAGGCAGAACAGAACCGCAUCUGCAACCUACACCACAACUCACAGCAACGCUGGAUCCUUAACCCACUGAGCAAGGCCAGGGAUCAAACCUGCAACCUCAUGGUUAUUAGUUGGAUUCGUUUCUGCUGCACCAUGAUGGGAACUCCAGGCACAGUUUCAACUUUACUUUCAUUUGUAUUGAGUUGAUUAAUGGUCUUCCACACUCCCCCAACUAGAUUACCAGCUCUGUGAGGACCAAGAAUGGGCUGGUUUUGCUCAACAUUUUAUUCCCCUGCCUCACACCUGGUGAUGAUGUUCAAUAAAUAUUUGUUAUCACAGCAGUUUAGGGAGUUCCCUGGUGGCUCAGCAGGUUAAGCCAGCAUUGUCACUGCUGUGGCUCUGGUUACUGCUGUGGUGAAGAUUUGAUCCCUGGUCUAGAAAGCUCUGCAUGCCAAGGGCGUGGCCAAAAAAAAAAAAAAAAAAA